GGCGAGUGAGCGGCAAUAGCUCAAAUUUGAAAUCUGGCACUUUCAGUGUCCGAGUUGUAAUUUGAAGAAGGUAUCUUUGGGUCUAGCUCUUGUCUAUGUUUCUUGGAACAGAACGUCACAGAGGGUGAGAAUCCCGUGCGAUGAGAUGUCUAGAUCUAUGUAAAGUUCCUUCGAAGAGUCGAGUUGUUUGGGAAUGCAGCUCUAAGUGGGUGGUAAAUUCCAUCUAAAGCUAAAUAUUGGCGAGAGACCGAUAGCGAACAAGUACAGUGAUGGAAAGAUGAAAAGAACUUUGAAAAGAGAGUGAAAAAGUACGUGAAAUUGUUGAAAGGGAAGGGCUUGAGAUCAGACUUGGUAUUUUGUAUGUUACUCUCUCGGGGGUGGCCUCUACAGUUUACCGGGCCAGCAUCAGUUUGAGCGGUAGGAGAAUUGCGUAGGAAUGUGGCUCGGCCUCGGUCGAGUGUUAUAGCCUUCGUCGAUACUGCCAGCUUAGACUGAGGACUGCGGCUUCGGCCUAGGAUGUUGGCAUAAUGAUCUUAAGUCGCCCGUCUUGA
rnacentral:rRNA from 1 species